UACAGAGGUGGCAAGCGUUGUUCGGAAUUACUGGGCGUAAAGAGCUCGUAGGGGGUUUGUUGCGUCUGCCGUGAAAACCCGAGGCUUAACCUCGUGGCUUGCGGUGGAUACGGGCAGACUUGAGGUAGGUAGGGGAGAAUGGAAUUCCCGGUGUAGCGGUGAAAUGCGCAGAUAUCGGGAGGAACACCGGUGGCGAAGGCGGUUCUCUGGGCCUUACCUGACGCUGAGGAGCGAAAGCGUUGGGAGCGAACAGG
rnacentral:rRNA from 1 species